CCCUUCCGUAGUUCUCGAACUCUCUCGGCGGCGGCGGCGGCGGCCAUGGAGAACGACGACGAGUGCCCUCCCCUCGCCGGAGACGCUGCACAGUCCUCCGCCGCCCGGUCCCUCCGCGUCAUCGCCUAUAGGGGUCACCGUCAUCACUCAUCACCGUCUACCUCGGCGCCGGCAAGUCCACGUUAGUCAACUACAUUCUGAGUGCGCAACAUGGGAAGAGAAUUGCAGUGGUAUUGAAUGAGUUCAGAGAGGAAAUUGGACUUGAAAGAGCAAUGAUCAAUAAGGGGCAAGGUGGCGCGCUUGUUGAAGAGUGGGUAGAGCUGGCAAAUGGAUAUGUUUGUUGCACGGUGAAACACAGCCUGGUUCAAGCACUUGAGCAGCUUGUGCAGACAAAGGAAAGGUUAUUGAUGCAAAAGCCUUCAGGCUGCAAAUUGAUGAGCACAAAAAGUCAUCAUCAUUCCCUGAAGCAUUUCAUCAAAUUGCAUUUUCGGAUGUUGUGAUAUUGAAUAAAGUUGACUUAGUAGAAGACAAUCUUGAGGAUUUGGAAAGGCAGAUUCUUGAAGUCAACGCUCUUGUUACAGUGGUGCAGUCUGUACGCUGUCAGGUUGACUUAAAUAAAGUAUUUGAUCAGCAAGCAUAUGGUGCCAAAGAAUUCAUCGCAGCUGCAAGAACUUCUGGAGUACAGUAAAUCAGUACCACCUAAUCCAGUAUUUCUACCUUGUGCAUUUGUGAGCAAGGAUCCAGUUUCCCUGGCUAAGAGCAAGAUCACGCCAUGGAAGGUCACAUCAUGACCAAGGCGAGUUAUUC